CUCUAGGCCGCCACUCUCCAUUUCCGUUUUCUAAUUUCUUUCUUCCACACUGGUCGACGUUACUUAAAGCCGCGAGAAAGACAAGGAGUAGUAAGAGGGGGGUUUAAGAGAAAAGUGCCUUUGAGAAAUUUCAAUCUCUUCUAGUAUCAAAGUUAUAGUGAUGACGAAGAGUGCUUCAUAUAUUCUUGGAUGCAUGAAGAUUAAGGGUGCGAUGAGGAUGACAACAUGAAUCAUCAAACAAACACUUACAUUCAUUUAAUGUGAAAUUCUGUACAUUAUUUCUGAUCUCUAUUACAAUCAAGCCUCACAUUGGCUAGUUCUUUUAUUCAAAUUUUAGUUAUUGUAGAAGACUUAUCUACUGC